rnacentral:rRNA from 1 species
GAUGAACGCUGGCGGCGUGCCUAAUACAUGCAAGUCGAGCGAACGGACGAGAAGCUUGCUUUUCUGAUGUUAGCGGCGGACGGGUGAGUAACACGUGGAUAACCUACCUAUAAGACUGGGAUAACUUCGGGAAACCGGAGCUAAUACCGGAUAAUAUUUUGAACCGCAUGGUUCAAAAGUGAAAGACGGUCUUGCUGUCACUUAUAGAUGGAUCCGCGCCGCAUUAGCUAGUUGGUAAGGUAACGGCUUACCAAGGCAACGAUGCAUAGCCGACCUGAGAGGGUGAUCGACCACACUGGAACUGAGACACGGUCCAGACUCCUACGGGAGGCAGCAGUAGGGAAUCUUCCGCAAUGGGCGAAAGCCUGACGGAGCAACGCCGCGUGAGUGAUGAAGGUCUUCGGAUCGUAAAACUCUGUUAUUAGGGAAGAACAUAUGUGUAAGUAACUGUGCACAUCUUGACGGUACCUAAUCAGAAAGCCACGGCUAACUAC